UGUUUUUUUUUCAUUUCUAUACGUAUACGUUACGCCGGGGGAUUAAAGUUUCAAAACUUCGUUAGUUAACUUGGCCAAACUAUCGUCAUCCAGUUUUUGAUGAUAGUUGCGUCCGAAGUCAAGUGUCCGUGUCCGUGUGUGAACCUUCCGAUUCGUUUCCGCGGAUUUCAUGAGUAAAAGAUGUUGCUCUCGGUAUUUCUGUUCCAAGUGAGCCGGAUCCUUCCGAAAAAAGGGAAGUUCCUCUACCCGCUAGUGCCACCUCGAGUACCACAAAUUAAACGAUUGUGUAAAUUAAAACUUAAGAGAUGAUUCAAAUUCUGCGUAUCAUGUACACCGGAUCAAUUGGUAGCUAGACCACAACCGAAGAUGGGAAUGAGUGCUAAAAUCUAUGAAGUGUGUAUUGGAAAUAUUGAAAGUAUCGAAUGCUCCUGGAAUGUGUAGUUAAAUUUUAUUCAUAAUAAUUAUUUAUGAAGUCAUAAAAGUGCUGAAUCAUCUGAGUGCACAAAAAUAAUCGUAACGACGCAACGAUCAUCAAACGGCAACAUUUACUCUCAGAAAUUAGAACCUUCCGAUCGCGGCAUGGUCGCACUCCUGCUUCGUUUUCUCGGAUCGCUCACUGUCAAUGUCUGCCAACAGAUGACCAUUUAGCGCAUUGAGGAUGCAGCAACGUUGGAAUCCUGAGUUAUGACAAUUCCGCUGAUAAAGUAUGAAUGGACGCUGCUGGAUAAUCAACGAUUGUUGACUAAGGAUCUUGUGCAGGAGGAACUGGACAAGUUAUGUCCGAUUCGAAGCGGUUCCAUGGGUCGAGCCAUGGGUAGCAGCCCGAUUGUGUAGUCAGUAACAUCGCAGUGCAUCUAGUAGCAGUAACAGCAAGGAAAGUUCCUGUGCACGACAAUUCAAUGGUCGAUUAUGUUGUGCAACAAGCUCUCUAGUACAACUGAAUGCCUAUCUGAUGCGAAUAAUGGGCUUGAUUCGGAGUUUGCAACAGGAACGAUCAAACGAAAACUACCAAUGGAACCAAAUUUACUCACGACGAGACAAUUACAGGAAGUUGUAUAGGAGAUCGAGAUACUACGCGGUUGAAUAAUUCCUCACCAACGUCCCCAUAACGAAAAGGCACCCUUACAAGACGUCAUAGUCAAAGACGAAGUCAAGAAAACAUCAAUAGCGGGACUCUUAAAUGACGACGACUAAUGUAUAUCCGCGUUUCGGCCAUUCAACAAGAGCUGCAUUAUAGUAAUAUAAUAGUUUUAACAUUCUUCA